rnacentral:rRNA from 1 species
GUUAGUAGCAAAUAUUCAAAUGAGAACUUUGAAGACCGACGUGGAGAAGGGUUCCAUGAGAACAGCAUUUGGUCAUGGGUUAUCCGAUCCUAAGGCAUAGGGAAAUUCCUUGUAAUACAAGAGCAAUUUGCUCGUUGCCGAAAGGGAAUGAGGUUAAUAUUCCUCAGACUGGACGUGGAUAUUGUAUGGUAACAUAAGUGAGCCCGGAGACAUCGGUAUGAACUCCUGGAAGAGUUAUCUUUUCUUUUUAACAAUCUAUCGCCCUGAAAUGGGAUUAUCCCGAGCUAGGGCUUUAUGGUUGGCAGAGCAUCGCACUCUAUGCAAUGUCAGGUGCGUUCAUAACGAUCCUUGAAAAUCCGGGGUAAGAGAUUUAUUCUCACGCCAGGUCGUACCAAUAACCGCAUCAGGUCUCCAAGGUUAGCAG